GGCGGACGGGUGAGUAACGCGUGAGCAACCUGCCUUUCACAGGGGGAUAACGCAUCGAAAGGUGCACUAAUACCGCAUGAGACCACGCUCCCGACAUGAGAGAGGGGUCAAAGGAGCAAUCCGGUGAGAGAUGGGCUCGCGUCUGAUUAGCUGGUUGGUGAGGUAACGGCCCACCAAGGCGACGAUCAGUAGCCGACCUGAGAGGGUGAUCGGCCACAUUGGAACUGAGAGACGGUCCAAACUCCUACGGGAGGCAGCAGUGGGGAAUAUUGGGCAAUGGGGGAAACCCUGACCCAGCAACGCCGCGUGAAGGAAGAAGGUUUUCGGAUCGUAAACUUCUAUCCUUGGUGAAAAUAGUGAUGGUAGCCAAGAAGGAAGCCCCGGCUAACUACGUGCCA
rnacentral:rRNA from 1 species